rnacentral:tRNA from 2 species
AGAAAGACAUAGUGGUUAUGGGAUUGGCUUGAAACCAGUUUUAGGGGGUUCGAAUCCUUCCUUUCUUA